AGCCUUCUUCUAUCAUACUCAUAAUUUUGGUCAACUUGCGCCGCAGGGUCUUGGAGGAGAUAGCGUUAGUUGAAGGCUACCAAACCUGCCACACACAGACAACUUCAGCUUUAUGUAUAUAGAGAUUAACUGAAACAAGGGUUUUGCAUUUCAACAGAAAUAUGGUAACAAAAAGAUUAAGAUGGUUAAAACUAAAAACCUUCCAUUAAUAUUUCAUGUCAAUUUGUUCCAAAAUACCAGCUUAAUGAUAACUAGGUUAGCCACUACUGACGGAUGGUGGAUGGCAGACUGGACACAGAAACAACGGUCAGCAGAUAGUAACAGAAGCAGCAGCAGAAGAGAGUAGUGUAGAGAAAGAGU